CAAUUUGUCUAUCAAUUCUGAUAUUAAAGGUAAUGGAUAACGAUUCUUAAUGGUCAUCUCAUUAAGUUUCCGAUAAUCCUGUACUGGUCUCAAGGAUCUGUCUUUCUUUUUGACAAAGAAGAAUGGUGAUGCCAUUGGAGAUUUACUCAGCCUUAUCUGUCCAAUUUCCAAGUUUUCUGUAAGGAAAUCUUCCAACACCUUUUGUUCUUCCCAGUUUAAUGGGUAAAUUUUACAAUCUAAGGGAUUAGAUCCCAGUACUAAUUUGAUUGCGUGAUCCCAUGGUCGUCUUGGUGGUAGUUCAUCAAAGGUAGUUUUUUCGAAAACCUUAUGGUGAGGUAGGUAAUGAGAUGGUACUAUCUCCUCCAAUGAUUGUUUUACUUUAUUUUGUGAAGCAAUUUCCGUGGCUUUAGAUUGGAAAGCCUGUAAUUGUAAUUCUUCUUGUCCAAUAUGAACGGCUAGUAAACGAUCUCCUUCUUCCCAUUCAUUCUGUUCUAUCUCUUCUUUGGGUUCAUUUAUGUUUGAGGUUUUCCAGCAUGCUCCCAGACAUCAUGAAAAGGUCAAUAUUUGGUUUUUCCAGUUUAUUUCUGGAUUGUGAUAUUUUAACCAAUCAUGUCCNACAUGACUAGGAUUGACAGAUUGAUAGCUCUUUCAUGAUCUCAUGGGUGGUGGUGCAUGGCUGUUCUUAGUUGGUGGAGUGAUUUGUCUGGUUAAUUCCGAUAACGAAUGAGACCUUAACCUGCUAAAUAGCCCAACCGGCUUUGGCUGGUUGCAGGCUUCUUAGAGGGACUGUCAGCGUUUAGCUGACGGAAGUUUGAGGCAAUAACAGGUCUGUGAUGCCCUUAGAUGUUCUGGGCCGCACGCGCGCUACACUGACAGAGCCAGCGAGCAAAUAACCUUGACCAAAAGGUCUGGGCAAUCUUGUGAAACUCUGUCAUGCUGGGGAUAGAGCAUUGCAAUUAUUGCUCUUCAACGAGGAAUACCUAGUAAGCGUGAGUCAUCAGCUCAUGUUGAUUACGUCCCUGCCCUUUGUACACACCACCCAUCGCUACUACCGAUUGAAUGGCUUAGUGAGGUCUCCGGAUUGGUUUCGGGGAGCCGGCAACGGCACCUUGUUGCUGAGAAGCUGAUCAAACUUGGUCAUUUAGAGGAAGUAAAAGUCGUAACAAGGUUUCCGUAGGUGAACCUGCGGAAG
rnacentral:rRNA from 1 species